GAGCCCUCCCCAGCCACAUCAAACUCUCAUUUGCAUUGCUAUAAAGGAAUACCUGAGGCUUGACAAUUUAUAAAGAAGGAAGUUCAUUUUGGCUCAUGGUUCUGCAGAAUGUACAAGAAGGGCAAUGCCAGCAUCUGCUUCUGGCAAGAGCCACAGCAAGCUUACAAUCAUGGCAGAAGGCAAAAGAGGAGCAGAUAUAGCACAUGGUGAGAGAAGGAGCAAGAGAAAUGCCAGGCACUUUUAAACAUUCAGAUCUUGAAUAAACUCAUAGAGUGAGAACUCACUCAUACUGCAAAGACAGCACCAAGACAUUCAUGAGAAAUUCACCUCCAUGAUUCAGACACUUCCCUUUCAGUGCCACCUCCAACCUUGGAGGUCACAUUUCAACAUGAUAUUUGGAGGGAACAAACAUCCAAAUCAUAUCAUUGACCUAGAAUGAACUUUGAGAUUUUCCAGUUGAGCCUCUGAAGAGCCUCAAAGAAUGUAUAUCUCAUUUAGUAAAGAUAUUAACUGAUCAAUCUUAUUUGGUAAUUAGUAUGGGAAACAAUGUUAA
rnacentral:lncRNA from 10 species